CUGUUCAGAUAGCCAUGCAUGUCUAAGUAUAAAUGGUAUACAAUGAAACUGCGAAAGGCUCAUUAAAACAGUUAUAGUUUAUUUGGUAAUCAAACUUACAUAGGAUAACCGUGGUAAUUCUAGAGCUAAUACAUAGCUGUUCUGCCCGACUUACGAAGGGCCGUAUUUAUUAGAUAUCAGCCAAUAAGCAUCCGCUAUUGUGGUGACUCAUAGUAACUUAAUCGGAUCGCAUGGGCUCGUCCCGCGACAAACCAUUCAAGUUUCUGCCCCAUCAUGCUUUCGAUGAUAGUGUAUUGGACUACCAUGGCUUUCACGGGUAACGGAGGAUUAGGGUUCGAUUCCGGAGAGGGAGCCUGAGAAACGGCUACCACUUCCACGGAAGGCAGCAGGCGCGUAAAUUACCCAAUCCUAAUUCAGGGAGGUAGUGACAAGAAAUAAUGGGUCGGAGUUUUGCUCCGGGACUGCAAUGAGACGAAUUUAGACCCCUUAUCGAGGACCAA
rnacentral:rRNA from 1 species